UGUCGAUGGCCUUCGUCCGAAAAUACUUGUCAUCAAAAUGGAUAAAUAGAGAUGUACCUAGAACUAAAAUACAUCUAGAUACAUUCUUUUUUAUUCACUUUGAUGACAAGUAUUUUCGAACGAAGGGAGUAUAUA
rfam:Triticum aestivum genome assembly, contig: Triticum_aestivum_CS42_TGACv1_scaffold_375132_5AL